rnacentral:rRNA from 1 species
GACGAACGCUGGCGGCGUGCUUAACACAUGCAAGUCGAACGGAAAGGCCCUGCUUUUGUGGGGUGCUCGAGUGGCGAACGGGUGAGUAACACGUGAGUAACCUGCCCUUGACUUUGGGAUAACUUCAGGAAACUGGGGCUAAUACCGGAUAAGAGCUCCUGCUGCAUGGUGGGGGUUGGAAAGUUUCGGCGGUUGGGGAUGGACUCGCGGCUUAUCAGCUUGUUGGUGGGGUAGUGGCUUACCAAGGCUUUGACGGGUAGCCGGCCUGAGAGGGUGACCGGCCACAUUGGGACUGAGAUACGGCCCAGACUCCUACGGGAGGCAGCAGUGGGGAAUAUUGCACAAUGGGCGGAAGCCUGAUGCAGCAACGCCGCGUGCGGGAUGACGGCCUUCGGGUUGUAAACCGCUUUCGCUUGUGACGAAGCGUGAGUGACGGUAAUGGGUAAAGAAGCACCGGCUAACUACGUG